ACCACGCCUAGCUAUCGGCUGAUCCCCGAUGGUGAAAACCGGGACACCCCUGACCCGGCUGGCGCUGGUUCUUUAUCGGGG
rfam:Rhodoferax fermentans strain JCM 7819 contig02, whole genome shotgun sequence.